rnacentral:rRNA from 1 species
AGAGUUUGAUCAUGGCUCAGAUUGAACGCUGGCGGCAUGCCUUACACAUGCAAGUCGAACGCGAAAGUGGGGGCAACCCUGCAAGUAGAGUGGCGAACGGGUGAGUAAUACAUCGGAACGUACCCCAGGAGUGGGGGACAACCUCGAGAAAUCGAGGCUAAUACCGCAUACGUCCUGAGGGAGAAAGCGGGGGAUUCGCAAGGACCUCGCGCUCAUGGAGCGGCCGAUGUCGGAUUAGCUAGUUGGCGGGGUAAGAGCCCACCAAGGCGACGAUCCGUAGCUGGUUUGAGAGAACGACCAGCCACACUGGGACUGAGACACGGCCCAGACUCCUACGGGAGGCAGCAGUGGGGAAUUUUGGACAAUGGGGGCAACCCUGAUCCAGCCAUGCCGCGUGAGUGAAGAAGGCCUUCGGGUUGUAAAGCUCUUUCGGCCGGAACGAAAUCGGUUGCGUGAAUAACGCAACUGGAUGACGGUACUGGAAGAAGAAGCACCGGCUAACUACGUGCCAGCAGCCGCGGUAAUACGUAGGGUGCGAGCGUUAAUCGGAAUUACUGGGCGUAAAGCGUGCGCAGGCGGUUCUGCAAGUCAGAUGUGAAAUCCCCGGGCUUAACCUGGGAACUGCGUUUGAAACUACGGAGCUAGAGUGCGGCAGAGGGGGGUGGAAUUCCACGUGUAGCAGUGAAAUGCGUAGAUAUGUGGAGGAACACCGAUGGCGAAGGCAGCCCCCUGGGCCGACACUGAUGCUCAGGCACGAAAGCGUGGGGAGCAAACAGGAUUAGAUACCCUAGUAGUCC